GAGCAGAGCACAGAGCAGGAAGGACACCUCUCUGUGUUAGGACUCCCAGAGGGGCUGGGGGUGCUGCCUGCCACUACCAGAAGCAGAAAGAGCCCAGAAUUGAGAAAGCUGCCAAGAGACUGAGGAUCUAAGGAGCUAAAAGGAAAGCCAGGAGGCUGAGCUAAUUCCCCAGAAGUGUUGGCUAAGUACAAAGUAAACUCACCAGGGCCACAAGAGUUGCAGCUGCACCCACAAAUGCCGCAAUGAAAAGGUGAAAUGUCAUCUGGAACUGUAAGAAAACAAGAACAGUCAUCACCUUGUAGCAAGUAUGCAAAAUCACUAAAUUCCAUAGGGUUCACAACCUGUGGGGUAGGGUUCAAGGUGCAAAAAACAAGCACAAACCGCCAUGUUUGGUUUUCACACUUUGCACAAUGAAUACAGGUUAAUAAAGAGAUGUGUGCAUUCA